AUACUUGACCUCAAAUCAGGUAGGACUACCCGCUGAACUUAAGCAUAUCAAUAAGCGGAGGAAAAGAAACUAACAAGGAUUCCCCUAGUAACUGCGAGUGAAGCGGGAAAAGCUCAAAUUUAAAAUCUGGCAGUCUCUGGCUGUCCGAGUUGUAAUCUAGAGAAGUAAUGCCCGUGCUGGACCGUGUAUAAGUCUCCUGGGAUGGGGCGUCAUAGAGGGUGAGAAUCCCGUCUUUGACACGGACUACCAGUGCAUUGUGGUAUGCUCUCAAAGAGUCGAGUUGUUUGGGAAUGCAGCUCAAAAUGGGUGGUAAAUUCCAUCUAAAGCUAAAUAUUGGCGAGAGACCGAUAGCGAACAAGUACCGUGAGGGAAAGAUGAAAAGAACUUUGGAAAGAGAGUUAAACAGUACGUGAAAUUGCUGAAAGGGAAACGCUUGAAGUCAGUCGCGUUGGCCGGGAAUCAGCCUUGCUUUUGCAUGGUGUACUUUCUGGUUGACGGGUCAGCAUCAAUUUUGACCGCUGGAAAAAGACCUGGGGAAUGUGGCAGCUUCGGCUGUGUUAUAGCCCCUAGUCGCAUACAGUGGUUGGGAUUGAGGAACUCAGCACGCCGCAAGGCCGGGUUUCGACCACGUUCGUGCUUAGGAUGCUGGCAUAAUGGC
rnacentral:rRNA from 5 species